GGAGAGGGCGGGGCCACGGUGCGAGCGGAGAGGAGGCAGCUGGAACAUUUGCCGGCGGGAAGAGCAGUGACCCUGCCCCGAGGAAGCAACCGGCCCGGCCCGGCACAGAGAGGGCAGCAGCGGGCAGGCAUUCCGCAUGGGACACACCUUAUCCCGCUGGCCCCAGGUGAGUGUGCUGCGGGCAAAGAGGUGGGUGGGCGUGGAAAGCAAGCAGAGACGAAAUAAGAGACUAAUCCUUGCUGUGGCAGGACUGUCCACCUGCAUAGCAUGUGAAGCUGUCAUAGGCCAUUCUGGACCCUUGAGCCAUCGGGCUACGUAGGUGCUGUAAGCAGGGCUAAGCUGUAGCUUUCCAGGUGCUGCUGGAUCUGCCUUGGCCAUCAGGCCCAGUGGUCAGGGCAGAUGGGAGUUGGGAGUCCUACACCUGGAUGGCCACAGGUUUCCCAUCCCUGGUCCACACUGACCGGCAGCAGCUUUGCGGCGUGUCAGACAAGGGGUGGUUUCCUUGCUGCAGAUUGGAGCUCCUGCAAACCUGCAAAGGUGUUUGUUGCGCUGCCAGUGGGCUCUGCCCCUUUCCCUUAGGUGUGUGUAGACAGCACGAGGCAGUGGCACACCUCAAAUGUUUUGAUGUGGGACCCUCUUUCCAGCCAACUCCAAUACCUCCGUUCCCUCCAGCCUCUGCAAUGGAAAUCACAGGAAUAUCACAUCAGCAGUGUUUUAAAUUAAUAUAGGGUGCCUGUACAGGAGGGCCCCACUCAUAUGGCAGGUUACGUUCCAGACCCCCGCCGAAAAGCAAAAACUGCUGAAAAGCGGAACUCAUUGAAUAGAAUGGUGCGCAACACCCAAAAACCACCCUAAAAGCGGAACAAGCACCGUAUGAGUGGGGCUUUAGUCUAAUUUCAUCUAAUUGAGACCACCGCAUUAGCGAAGUGCCGUAAAGCGGGGCCCUACUGUAUAUGUAUGUAUGUGUAUAUGUAUGGAAAUAGGAUUCAAGCAUGGUGUACAGGAAGGGUGAGGAAGUUGUGGUCCUCCAGACGCUGUUGUGCUUCAACUCCCAUCAUCAGCCCCGGGCAGGGGUGGAAACUGUAGCCCUGCGGCUUCCAGAGGACCCCUGGAGUGGGUAGGCCUAUUUCUCAAAGGCCCACACCACAGCAAUGUUGUACUGCAGGCCCAGUGGGAGGAGUGGGAAGCCCAUGACUGUGGAUCACACCAGACACCUCUUGUCGCGGCUGCCCCACCAGGGAACAUGCCAGGUCCCUCCAUUUGAAGGGCAGGGAGAGUCCAGGCGUCACUUGCAGAGCAAAUCCCUCCAGCCAGCACCAAACCCGAGGUCAAGCUGCAUCCGCAAAAGCAGUAUUUGUCCUGCCCGUUGGUUUGGGGAGAAAUGCACUUGAGACGCCCUUUGUGCAUUUCUGCCCAUUUGUGAAUUGUCCCCCCCUUGUCCCAGGAAGGGUCGCGUAAGGAAGCCUUGCCUCUUUCCCCCUCCAGGCCAGGCUCAGCCAGUCCCUCCACGGAUCUUCAUCCUCUACGUAGCGGUGGCUAGCACCCUCCAUGUCACCCUCCCCCAGAAGCUGGUGGCUGCUUACAUCCUCGGUAACAGCUUCUCUUGGGAUCGGGCCCUCCCAACUCUGCAACCGAGGCCUGGGUGGGCGGUAGAAGCUUGUGAGAGCACAAGUGUGGAAUGCAGAAGGCCAGAUGAUUCAGUCUCAUACCACAAAACCUCAAAUUCUAGGGGCAGGCAGCUUUUAAGUUGAGAUGAAGUAAUUUGAGCAUUCCCAACUGCUGGUCCGAGCUGUGGUGGAUAUUCCCAGCAUGCCCUUCUUGAGAGCAACGCUAACGGAGCUUGCCCCAGGCUCAUUUGGAGCACAGGACUCUGACCCAAUUGAUGGGCAGUGGGAGGGAGGGGCUUCCCUCCCUGGGAUCUAAGGAAGAGCUACUGCGUUCUGUGUUUCGGUAUUGCCUCUUAACAAUGGCGUUCCUGCGGACCUGAGCCCCCCUUCUCUGAAGUGUACUGAACGUGCAGGGACAAAUCAAGGCCAGGAUUGGGGGGGAGGGGGCAGCUUGUCCAGGAGGUCCACAAGCCCCUCUUCUCCCCCACCCUGCCACGAGGGUCCAUGCCAGUCUACCAUCCACGAAUGAGGAAGCAUGGUGACCCCCUCCAAUCUCAUCCAGCCACCUCUUUGCUGUGAAUGCCCUUGUGAGUAGCAGGGAGCCUGGCUGCCCUGGCGGUGUUUGGAAGGUGGACGCUUUGGGGGAUGGCCUGGAGCCUAAUGUCUUAAAAGGGCAGGAGGUUUGGGGGAGGGGGGUUAUCACACCAUCUGCCUGGACAACUUUCCAUCAUGUUGAAAUAAAAACAAGCCAUCCAAACAAGGACUCUCCUCCAAGUCACGGCCCUUCCUGACUGAGCAGCUUGGUCUUGUCAGUGGGUGGGGAGCAACAGCCGCAGCCAGGCCCAGAGAACAGAAAAGUGCAGAGCAGCUUAACCUUUUGGGGUUUACGGCCAAGAGAAAUAGCGAUCUGCAGCACCAAGAGGAGUCCCUGGCCUCCAACAGCUCCUAGGCCCUGCUUUGCUGACCAAAGCCCCAAACGAGCUGCACCCCAUCGUGCCUCUUCACUGCAAGGCUUGGGGGGUUGUAUUGGGGGGCUUCCCGGAGUAGCAAGACUCACCCCCCCCCAGCUCAGCACCCCACACUCCCUCCCCCCGUGCCCCCCAGCCCAGCGUCACUCUUUGGAAAGGAAGGGCAGAGCCUGUUGUGAGAUCUGGCAGGUGGUUCCCACCUUUUAUUUAACAGGAUUAUGGUAUAGAUUCUUCAGCCAUGAUUCCGGGGCAGUAAGGACAGAGCACAGCCCCAGAACACACACACAAACAGCCCCUGCCCCACACAUACAUCCCACAACCCACCCACCCCAUGGAGAGAAAGCCACAAGAAAACCCUCAAGGAUCAGCUCAACAAGCAGUUUUGGAAGGGAUGGACAGACCCACUACCCCUGCAAAGGCUCUGGCUGGCUAAGAGAUUCUAGGCAUGGUGGGUGGGGGUGGGGGGAGAGCGUGGCAUGGGGAAUUACAGCAGACUCCCCUCUUGGGGUAAAUGGUGCUCCACAGGAUUACUUGUGGGAUGGGGUAGGGCAGAAGAGAAGGUAAAGAGCAGCUCGAGGGUGCUUUGGGCAGGAUGAGUUCAGCCCCAUCCAUCAGCUUCUCCAGGCAGCCUAGUGGGUCUUUUUUUUUUUAUGAGGGUGGGUCAGUGGGUGUUGAUCUAGGGUACUACCUUCAGUCACAGAGAUGGGAGACUCUCCUCUCUUUGACCCACUCACCACCCCCCAAAAAAACCCCACGGUAAGACAUGCAGACACCUUGCCCUACUGAAUUGCCAAGCGCUCUGGGGCACAAUAGCAGCAGGCCCACUUCCUGAAAGGGGUGCUACUCUCCCCUCCCCCAGAACUAUAGAAGAUUGACAGCUCCUGGAUGGGAAGAGUCAGCAGCAGGGGGACCCAAAAAGGAUCUUCCUGCUCCCUCCUCUAGAGUCCAAAAAGGGGCAGGAAAAGCAAAAAGGGGGCCACAGAUUUUGAGCCAGGUUUCCUGUGCCAACCUUUGCUUCAAAACUGAGCGUGCCUGUGUGUGUAUGUGGGGAAGAAUACUACCACUUCAGUCCCUCUCCCUCUUUCAAAUAUUCCAGCUGCUGAUGGGUGGUGGGCGCUCUCCUGCCCCGACACAGAUCCCUUUUGUCCCAGCCCCACAGAGGUUUCUUCUGCCCCACAGACUGCCAUUUCACAAGCAGAGACUAUUGGGAGGAUUGCAGCCCCACAGAACGUACAGCCAACAUGCCCCAGUCCCCCUACCACCCAAAGCAACUGCCCCCCGCUCUGCCAGCCUCCCCAGCCCCCCUCGCCGGUUGGCCAGCCCACUUUGGAAUCUCCUACGAGAGGAGGAAGCACCCUGCAGUCCUUGGGAGACGGACGGGGGGGGGGGAAGCAUCAGAAGUGGCCAUUGCCCAGACGUUCUGACUCUCCUCCCUGCCCCCUGGCCCAAAUCCUUAAGCGCUUCUCUUGGCAAGCCACCACACUUCCUUGCACCCAACCCUCCUGACUCCCAUGAAUCACACAAAUGCUUUGCGCAAACCCUUCACAGCACAUACUUCUCCACUUUCCUUCUCAAGACAAUAACAAAAACAUUCUCUCUUCCCUCCCACCCCUCUGGCACACUCCCAAAUUCAUUCCUAUUAAAAACCUACAAGAGUUUCUUUGGAUUUCCCACAAAAAAAGCCCCUGAUGCAAAUGGCGUUUGCUGACACCUCCCCUAUUCACCAACUCCUCCCUGCAACCGCCGGUUCCAAGCCUCCAUCGCCCCCGUUCAGUUCCACAGCCCCCCAUGGCAAGCUCAGUGUUGUUGCAGAACGAGGGCUCUGUCCUGUCCAUCCACGGCCAACAGGCAACAAUCCCACGAACAGGCCGCGCUCCAGGCCGAUGGUGCUGCGCCUCUCCUCCUGUUUGGCCGUGCUGGUGGCAGGGAGCGCAUGAGCAGCCUUCACUCUGCCACCACAGCCAUCAGACGGCACUUUCACGCUCCUGUUGCAGGUUGGGUGCCGAUCUCUGCCGGCGCAUGCGUGGCGGGGGGUUGUUGUCGGGGUUGCUGGGCCGGUGCUGGGGGUACGGCUGGUGCUGGCGGGGGUAGUAGUUAUGCUUGCGGGCCUGGAAGUGCUCCUGCGCCUGCUGCCCGCGCCUGCCUCGCUGCCCGCCCUCCAGGGAGUUACGCCGGGCUGAGCGGCCAGGGUGUUUAUUAUUAUGCUGGGGCACUGGGCUGCUCCGCCGGGCAGGCCUGCUGGGGCUGGGGGGUCGGGGAACCUCCUCCCUGGGAAUGGCCUCCUCCCCGCCCCCCACCAUGAAAGCAGAGUUGGGGCCCCAGGAGUAGCGGUGCUGAGGGUUGCUUUUGAAGGGGAAGCGCAGCUUGCAGUCCUGCGGGGGGAUGAAUUUGCCGUGGGUGGGGGGCAGCUGGCUGCGGCGCAAGGCUUUGGUCAGCUGCUGCUGCUGCAGGUUCUGAAGGCGGGCCUGCUCCUGCCGAAGCCAGCGGAGGCGCCCCCGGCGGAAGGCUGGAUCCUUCUCCAUCAGGUGGGAAACCCGGUCGCAGCAGGAAGCAGCGGCAGCAGCAGCAGAGCCCUCGUCCUCCUUGGCAUCCAGCGAGUCCUGGCUGCCCGUCGGUGCCUUUGGCUGCCCCUCCGACACGAGGCCCUCGGCAAACAGCAAUGAGCCCCACUCGUUCUCUAGGUCUUCAUCCUCCUGAGACGAGGAGAAGGAGGAGAAUAAGACGAUGGCCCAGACAGGAUCCCUCUCUGCCAGGGUCUGGUUCUGCCACAAGCCUAGCUGAGUCCCCCCACCCCACCCUUCAACCAUCACCGCCACCCCAGCUCUAGGGAAUUGAGCUCUAUCAGAGAAGCUUCUGUGCAAUUUUAAGCAGGACCUUUCAAAAACCACAAUAAAAGUAUUUCCCAA